AGUCCUGACUUUCGUCACUUGCUGUAUUUCUAUUAGGAAUUUCGCUAAUCAAUUGGCAAGUGAUGUCUAUAAUGCCUUCACUUAAACUUCUAAGGGAAGUGCAUUUUACUGAUGCCAGAAAUCUUCAACUCAUACUCCUGAGUCGAUCAUGGUUGAGCUCUUUCAUUUGCGUCUUUAGGUGAAAACCCGAAAGGGCACCUCAAAAAAAAAAAAAAAAAAAAAAAA
rnacentral:lncRNA from 1 species